GUUCUACCAUCAGCUCCAAGUGUGUGGGGGAGGAGGGAAUGUCACCCUCUCUAGGACUGCAGACAUUUGUCGCUUGUCUGGUCAUGACAGCCAGGACAGGAUCACUCUGCUGCUGCUUCUACCCUGAGUUCUGAAUGGAUUUGGGGCUGCCAGGCAUGACAAGCUCCAGAAGUAUUCCAGGUGUACAUGGACGGAGGCCCCGGAUACUCGUACCCUGUCGACUGGUGGUCCCUGGGCAUCACAGCCUAUGAGCUGCUGCGGGGCUGGAGGCCGUACGAAAUCCACUCGGCCACGCCCAUUGAUGAAAUCCUCAACAUGUUCAAGGUGGAGCGUGUCCACUACUCCUCCACGUGGUGCAAGGGGAUGGUGGCCCUGCUGAGGAAGCUCCUGACCAAGGAUCCUGAGAGCCGCGUGUCCAGCCUUCAUGACAUACAGAGCGUGCCCUACUUGGCCGACAUGAACUGGGACGCGGUGUUCGAGAAGGCACUGAUGCCCGGCUUUGUGCCCAAUAAAGGGAGGUUGAAUUGCGAUCCCACAUUUGAGCUUGAAGAGAUGAUUCUAGAAUCCAAGCCACUUCACAAAAAGAAGAAGCGGUUGGCAAAGAACAGAUCCAGGGAUGGCACGAAGGACAGCUGCCCGCUGAAUGGACACCUGCAGCAGUGUUUGGAGACUGUCCGGAAGGAAUUCAUCGUAUUCAACAGAGAGAAGCUCAGGAGGCAGCAGGGACAGGGCAGCCAGCUCUUGGACACCGACAGCCGAGGGGGAGGCCAGGCCCAAAGCAAGCUCCAGGACGGGUGCAACAACAACCUCCUCACCCACACCUGCACCCGUGGCUGCAGCAGCUGAGCCCACACUUGUUGCUGCUCAACAGGACCGC
rnacentral:sRNA from 1 species